AUGGACUGGCUGGCGGCAAGAGGCACUAUGCAGAUUAACUGGGAACAGAAGUGGCUUACUUUCGAUCAUUUGGGUCAGAGAAUUUUGCUUCAUGGACAUCCACCUGCUGAGUUUGAGUUAACCGUGGUGGAGUUGCAGUUAGUACAAGGCCAAGAUUCAGUGGCAGUGCCUAUAGAAAUUCAGUCUAUGCUUGAUGAGUUUUCUGAAGUUUUCUCUGCACCAACUCAACUUCCACCGCGAAGAACUUGUGAUCACAAAGUUCCUUUGAUCACUGGAGCUCAACCAGUCAAUGUCAGGCCCUAUGUUACUCUCCUGAGCUGA
rnacentral:rRNA from 1 species